AAGGAAAGGGUCAGUUGAAUAUUCUCAAAUUGGCUAAAUUGAUUAAGGAUUUGCCUAAAUAUGAUGAAAAGAGAGGACCUUUUUACAAUAUGAGUGUGUUUGAAGGUGAAAUGAAUAAAAGACAAUUUGAUGAUGUGGUAGCCACAAGAGGUCUUUUGAUCUGGCUGCCAACUUCAUUAAGUGAAUGGGUUAAAGUUAAACUCAUUGAUGUGUUGGAAGAGAAGUCAAGUGAAAAGCCCAGAGUUGAGUUGGAGGAAUUGUUUCCAAAUAAUACACAGAGAUUGCUAAUGGUGGUACAGUGUGCAACUGGUGUGGAGAAUUUUCAAUUUUCUACUCUUGAUUCAUUCAAAAUGGAGAAAAAUGAUGAUAUACGUGUUUGUGCUAAUUUGUGGAAUAAGGCAUGGAAUUUGAUUACUGAUACAGAACCAUCUGCUAUGUCUAAAGAACAACAUAAG